rnacentral:rRNA from 1 species
UACGAAGGGUGCAAGCGUUAAUCGGAAUUACUGGGCGUAAAGGGUGCGUAGGCGGUUGCUUAAGUCUGUCGUGAAAUCCCCGGGCUCAACCUGGGAAUGGCGAUGGAUACUGGGCAGCUAGAGUGUGUCAGAGGAUGGUGGAAUUCCCGGUGUAGCGGUGAAAUGCGUAGAGAUCGGGAGGAACAUCAGUGGCGAAGGCGGCCAUCUGGGACAACACUGACGCUGAAGCACGAAAGCGUGGGGAGCAAACAGG